UACGUAGGGGGCUAGCGUUGUCCGGAAUCAUUGGGCGUAAAGCGCGUGUAGGCGGUCCGGUAAGUCCGCUGUGAAAGUCGGGGGCUCAACCCUCGGAUGCCGGUGGAUACUGUCGGGCUUGAGUACGGAAGAGGCGAGUGGAAUUCCUGGUGUAGCGGUGAAAUGCGCAGAUAUCAGGAGGAACACCAAUUGCGAAGGCAGCUCGCUGGGACGGUAUUGACGCUGAGGCGCGAAAGCGUGGGGAGCAAACAGG
rnacentral:rRNA from 1 species